CACAGCUUAUACACACAUGUAAUGCUGAAAGAUAUAGCUCCCUGCUGACAGUCCGCACUCUCUGCUCAUUCAUACACAUUGCUGACAGUUAGCACCCCCUACUCAUUCAUACACACUGCUGACAGUCAGCGCUCCCUACUCAUUCAUACAUAUUGCUGACAGUCAGCACUCCCUACUCAUUCAUACACUUUGCUGACAGUCAGCCCUCCAUACUCAUUCAUGCACACUGACAGUCAGCACUCCAUACUUAUUCAUACACUUUUCUGACAGUCAGUACUCUCUGCUUAUUCAUACACAUUGCUGACAGUCAAUAC